AACGAACGCUGGCGGCAGGCUUAACACAUGCAAGUCGAACGCCCCGCAAGGGGAGUGGCAGACGGGUGAGUACCGCGUGGGAACAUACCCUUUUCUACGGAAUAGCUCUGGGAAACUGGAAUUAAUACCGUAUACGCCCUACGGGGGAAAGAUUUAUCGGGGAAGGAUUGGCCCGCGUUGGAUUAGCUAGUUGGUGGGGUAAAGGCCUACCAAGGCGACGAUCCAUAGCUGGUCUGAGAGGAUGAUCAGCCACAUUGGGACUGAGACACGGCCCAAACUCCUACGGGAGGCAGCAGUGGGGAAUAUUGGACAAUGGGCGCAAGCCUGAUCCAGCCAUGCCGCGUGAGUGAUGAAGGCCUUAGGGUUGUAAAGCUCUUUCACCGAUGAAGAUAAUGACGGUAGUCGGAGAAGAAGCCCCGGCUAACUUCG
rnacentral:rRNA from 1 species